rnacentral:rRNA from 1 species
UACGUAGGGUGCGAGCGUUAAUCGGAAUUACUGGGCGUAAAGCGUGCGCAGGCGGCUUUGCAAGACAGAGGUGAAAUCCCCGGGCUCAACCUGGGAACUGCCUUUGUGACUGCAAGGCUAGAGUACGGCAGAGGGGGAUGGAAUUCCGCGUGUAGCGGUGAAAUGCGUAGAUAUGCGGAGGAACACCGAUGGCGAAGGCAAUCCCCUGGGCCUGUACUGACGCUCAUGCACGAAAGCGUGGGGAGC